rnacentral:lncRNA from 1 species
AUGCAUGUCAACAUCAGAAGCCUCCUCCCUAAGUGUGUCUUACUCACUCCUCUAGCACACUCUGCUAACCCUGAUGUCCUUGCCGUGUCUGAAUCCUGGCUCAGGAAGGCCACCAAAAAUUCUGAGAUUUCCAUACCCAACUAUAACAUCUUCCGUCAAAAUAGAACUGCCAAAGGGGGAGGAGUUGCAGUCUACUGCAGAGAUAGCCUGCAAAGUAAUGUCAUACUUUCCAGGUCCAUACCCAAACAGUUCGAACUACUAAUUUUGAAAAUGACUCUCUCCAGAAAUAAGUCUCUCACUGUUGCCGCCUGCUACCGACCCCCCUCAGCUCCCAGCUGUGCCCUGGACACCAUUUGUGAAUUGAUCGCCCCUCAUCUAGCUUCAGAGUUUGUUCUGUUAGGUGACCUAAACUGGGAUAUGCUUAACACCCCGGCAGUCCUACAAUCUAAGCUAGAUGCCCUCAAUCUCACUCAAAUCAUCAAGGAACCCACCAGGUACAACCCUAACUCUGUAAACAAGGGCACCCUCAUUGACGUCAUCCUGACCAACUGGCCCUCCAAAUACACCUCCGCUGUCUACAACCAGGAUCUCAGCGAUCACUGCCUCAUUGCCUGUAUCCGCUACGGAGCCGCAGUCAAACGACCACCCAUCAUCACUGUCAAACGCUCCCUAAAACACUUCUGUGAGCAGGCCUUUCUAAUCGACCUGGCCCGGGUAUCCUGGAAGGACAUUGACCUCAUCCCGUCAGUUGAGGAUGCCUGGUCUUUCUUUAAAAGUAACUUCCUCACCAUUUUAGAUAAGCAUGCUCCGUUCAAAAAAUGCAGAACUAAGAACAGAUAUAGCCCCUGGUUCACUCCAGACCUGACUGCCCUCGACCAGCACAAAAACAUCCUGUGGCGGACUGCACUAACAUCGAAUAGUCCCCGCGAUAUGCAACUGUUCAGGGAAGUCAGGAACCAAUACACACAGUCAGUCAGGAAAGCUAAAGCCAACUUCUUCAGGCAGAAGUUUGCAUCCUGUAGCUCCAACUCCAAAAAGUUCUGGGACACUGUGAAGUCCAUGGAGAACAAGAGCACCUCCUCCCAGCUGCCCACUGCACUGAGGCUAGGUAACACGGUCACCACCGAUAAAUCCAUGAUUAUCGAAAACUUCAACAAGCAUUUCUCAACGGCUGGCCAUGCCUUCCGCCUGGCUACUCCAACCUCGGCCAACAGCUCCCCCCCCCCGCAGCUACUCGCCCAAGCCUCUCCAGGUUCUCCUUUACCCAAAUCCAGAUAG